AAAGCCAUAGAAAUAUUUGAUAGUAUAAUAACACCCAUACUGUCAUAUAACUCGGGACAAACUACCCAUUGAAAAAGCCCAUCUACGUUUCUGUUAACUAUACCUUGGUGUAGGAAAAAAAAGCGAGCAACAUGACUAAUGGAAAACGAAAAACAUCUCCUAAAUUCAUGUAACAAAUAUGAUCACAUAAGAGAUAAUUUUAUAUCUUCUCUUGACACCCAAAACCAACAAUUAAACACAAUCACCAGGCUUGUUCAAAUCAACAGAAAGCGACGUAAUAACAAAACUUUCAAAAUUUGUUGCUUCCUGUUUCUCAUUGCAAGAAAAACACCUUGAAUCCACCAAUGCUGCUUCAAAUAUGAC